GCCAGUGUGGCAUAGUGGCUUGAGUCUUCGACUAUGACUCAAGACCAGGAUUCGAUUCCCAGCUCAGCCA